AGAGUUUGAUCAUGGCUCAGGAUGAACGCUAGCGGCAGGCUUAAUACAUGCAAGUCGAGGGGCAACAGGGGUAGCAAUACCUGCUGGCGACCGGCAAACGGGUGCGCAACACGUACAGAACCUUCCUUUAAGCGGGGGAUAGCCCAGAGAAAUUUGGAUUAAUACCCCAUGGUAUUAUUGUCUGGCAUCAGGUAAUAAUUAAAGAUUUAUCACUUAGAGAUGGCUGUGCGUCUGAUUAGGUAGUUGGUGAGGGUAAUGGCCUACCAAGCCUUCGAUCAGUAACUGGUGUGAGAGCACGACCAGUCACACGGGCACUGAGACACGGGCCCGACUCCUACGGGGAGGCAGCAGUAAGGAAUAUUGGUCAAUGGACGCAAGUCUGAACCAGCCAUGCCGCGUGAAGGAUGAAGGUCCUCUGGAUUGUAAACUUCUUUUAUGUGGGAAGAAAUGUCCGGAUUAUUCUGGAUUUGACGGUACCAUAGGAAUAAGCACCGGCUAACUCCGUGCCAGCAGCCGCGGUAAUACGGAGGGUGCGAGCGUUAUCCGGAUUCACUGGGUUUAAAGGGUGCGUAGGUGGGAAUGUAAGUCAGUGGUGAAAUCUCCGUGCUUAACAUGGAAACUGCCAUUGAUACUAUGUUUCUUGAAUUUUCCGGAGGUUAGCGGAAUAUCAUGUAGCGGUGAAAUGCUUAGAUAUGACAUAGAACACCAAUUGCGAAGGCAGCUAACUACAGGGAUAUUGACACUGAGGCACGAAAGCGUGGGGAUCAAACAGGAUUAGAUACCCUAGUAGUCC
rnacentral:rRNA from 1 species